GGCUCCUUUUGACAAUGGCAUAACUGGAAAAAUUAAAAUUAUACAAAAAUGAUUAUGAACGGCUUACUGACCAACAUCAAUGGUAGAACUCAUUUACAUGUAAACAACAGCCUACCAUUACACUUUAAUGCUGUUGAAUACAAGUUACACAACCUUAAAACAAGGAAGCCUAAAAUGAGGGGAGAGAAUCACGGUACGUCUUGUUGUGGAAAGUCCAGCAUAAACAAUGCACAGGAGACAGGAUGAGAUCUGAAGAACAGCCUGGGGCGUCUUUAAUAGUACAGAUGUAGAAAUCAGUACAGAUGACAAACAGAGACUCGACCAAGACCCAAGGAAGCUUCCCUAGCUUUACUUCUACUCUCUUUUAUCCUGUGUGAGUGUGGGUGUGUGUGUAUGUGUAUGUGUAUGUGUAUUCUCCAGAAGGCCCCUCAUGAUGACAUGUUUUUGACACAGAACAAAACAGACACACACAAACAUCCAAUCAACCCACACACUUCACUUUUUCAUCACACAAUGGUAUACCCUUUCACACGUGUUUGAAGUCAAAGUCAGUCACUGGAGUCAGUCAGCAGUCUUCUAUUUUAAUUCUUGUUUUGAUUUCUUCAAUUUUUCCAAUUUGUGUGAUUUUUUCAAUUUGUGUGAUUCUUCUACAAUUGGUCAGGAGAUAUGGGACGUGCUUGUUCAAUUGGGAUCCCUGAAUAGGCUUUUCAGCCUAUCCUUAUUGACGUCUUUUUCUAUCUCCUGCUCAUCAAGCCAAUCUGUAUCUCUCAGAGCUCAUGAAAAAUUGCCCAAAACUCACAGUUCAACAAUGGACAGACACACUCGUGCCUGCCACUCCCCUUGUUAUCCCAAAAAUUACCCAGAACCUUUUAUCACCAGGCAUUCAGCCUAAAAACACAUCACAACCCGGGCCAGGCUGUCUCCCCGAACUACUGGCCAGUGCUUCUCUGCACCCAGUCUAGCUAGUUCCACUUAACUACUGGCCUUGUGCCUCUCUGCACCCAGUCUACUAGCUUCACAUACACAGCGUGAGGCGAUUCUCACACAUUGAAGGAGACGAAAUGCGUCUGCACCCAGUCUAUAGUUUCACAUAUGACAAUCUCAAACCUAUAGCAGCAUGAGGCAAUCUCACACUCUGAAGGAGACGAAGUGCUUCUGCACCCAGCCUAUAGCUUCUCACACAUGCAGCAGCCAAUAGCUCUACAUAUGGCAUCCCUCACAUGCAGCAGCCUAUAGCUUCACAUGUGGCAAUCUCACACACGUAACAGCAUGAGGCGAUAUCACCCUUUGAAGGAGACGAAGUGCUUCUCUGCACCCAGUCUGCUAUCUUCACAUAGUCUCAGACAUAUAGCAGCGUGGAGCAGCCUCACACUUUAAAGGAGACGAAGUGCCUUUCUGCACCCAGUCUACUAUCUUCACAUAGUCUCACGCAUGUAGCAGCGUGAGGCGGUCUGACACAACCAACUGCAGUUUCUCUUAAUUCAGCUGAUAUAUAUCCAAUUUAAAUUGACUUCCUCUCCCAAAUUUAGCACACUUUGAUCAGCUGACUGCAUGCAUGCAGUUUUCUCAGACUGUCUUCAUUCCCACUUCAUCCCCACCUGCAAAACACUAACUUAUAGGAAGAUGCUUUGCUACUUGCGCUUAUGAGCUUUCACAAUCAAAAGCACUGUGAUAAAUCUUUCACUGCAUGAAUUACUAACUUACAAAGCUAUGCUUUACUGCGGCUAAACAAUUAAGUUUUUCGCUUGAGCAGCUGAAAAUUAGUGAAUUAAAUAUAUGAGGCAGCUAACUACGAUGCAAGAUAUAUGGAUUAGCAGGAGGAGUGCCAAAAUCUGAUCCCAGUCAAGAGGUGGAGGCCAGUCAAGCCAGAGCACCAGGUGUACAUCACCGUCCUUUGAGGAAGGUGGCACAAAGAACGAGGAGAAGACCUAAACACUUUGGUCCUGGUGAACUCUACUUCAGUGCAAGAAGAGGGCAAUAAGAUGUGGCGUCAUCUACCACUGACUGCCCAGAAAAACAAGGGAAGUAUGACUUGAUAAGAGACACUCCCAGAGUGACUGUAGCACUCGUCCUGAAAGUAAGAAAGUUACUGUUUUCCUAGUGUUGUUGUUGGACAAUGUGUGGAGAGAGACCGAGAGAGAGACUGAUGACAACAAUGAGGGUGAAGGUCAAACUGAUGCCAGAACAGCUGUGAGAAGAAGAAGUCGGAGACAUUGUUAUCGAGGGUGAGUAAGAUGCAACCCAAAACACAAUCCACACCACUCCAGACAGAGCUAGAACCCAUGCCAACAUUCACAGAUUAUUACAAAUAAGAGAACUGUUUUUUUUUUGUUUUUUUUUUAACCUAAAGUUAAGCAAUUAUGUGACAGAAAUUAUUGUUUGAUUUGAUUUGUUAAUUAUUCAGUGAAGAUGUUUAGAUUAAAGGAUAUUUACAUGUAACAAGUCCACUAACAUGUCAAUACAGACAAGCAGUAAAUUGGGUAUUUGAAGAGAAAAGAUGUGUCUUAAAAGGUUGGAAAGUACUGUUGCGGAUACAUUUCUAACAAAACAAGCCCCUGGGGGAGGUUUUUCUAAAGCUAUUAAGGGUAAAGAAAAGUUUAAAGUGGAAAUGCAGGAGAAUGCUGGUAAGGGGGGCCUGUUAAUGGACUGGGUAGUCCAAAUUUUAGAUGAAUGAGAGCCGUUUUGGCCCAGCCAUGAGUGCUGCGAUAGCCCUAAUUCUGAUUUCCUUUCUCACAUGUCGCAUCGUACACAUCCUUUGGAGACAUUGUUGGAAGCUGACGGAGGAGAUGGGACUUAUGGUGGACCUAACACUGGCCCAUGAACUACAGGAAAUGCCACCAAAACAGCUGGCACAGUGUGUGAUUAAUCAAGGAGGGACUGAGGGACCUGAACGGUUCCUGGACUUUGAUGGAGACGAAGAUGAGCAAUGGACUUUGAGCAACACAAACAACAUAUUCAAUGAGCUGGAAAUAUUGAACUGAACAUGUUUCAUUCACAGAGUUAAAGGACUACACUAAUCACAUAUUAAUCAAGGGGUUUGUUGCAGGUUGCUACAAUGUAAUGUAAUGGUAUUAUCAGAAGUUGACACUUCUUCUAUGCAAAUGAAAUUAUGUCAGCGCAUCCAGGAAAUGGAUGGUCGCCAGGGCGCGGGGCCGUAAGAUUCUUUCCCUGCUGAAACAGCCGAGCAGGGUUUUCAGUCUUACGCGCUGAUAUAAUUUGAAAUGAUCCAAGCUAUGGUAUGGUGUUUAGUGUUUGAUAUGAUGAUUAGGUUUUUAUGAAAGUAAGAACUUUCAAAGAGGGGACUGUGUAGGGGAAUCUCUUCAUACAGUUAGGUUAAGAAAUGUAGAGUAAUUAUCUUUUAGUAAGAAGCUACAAAUAAUCUAGGUUGGCCUGCUCCUGCAGCCCCACGACCAUGAGAUUGUAAGCAAGGCUGUCUUGCAGGAGCCCAAACUAUCUGUCUGUUGGAACAUGUAAUCUCUGCCAGGGUCGAGACGAACCUAAACAAAGUGUCGUGGAGCAGACAUGUCAUCAUGAGGGGCCUUCUGGAGAAUACACACACACACACACACACACACACACACACACACACACACACACACACACACACACACACACACACACACACACACACACACACACACACACACACACACACACUCACACAGGAUAAAAGAGAGUAGAAGUAAAGCUAGGGAAGCUUCCUUGGGUCUUGGUCGAGUCUCUGUUUGUCAUCUGUACUGAUUUCUACAUCUGUACUAUUAAAGACGCCCCAGGCUGUUCUUCAGAUCUCA
rnacentral:lncRNA from 1 species